GUCUGGUUGCGUAGCGGUUAACGCGCCGCCAGAUCUGUGGGAUGGAGCCACAUGUAUACUUGGUGGAGAGUCCUGUUCGACUCAGGGACCAGACG